GAUGAACGCUGGCGGCGUGCCUAAUACAUGCAAGUCGAGCGAACAGACGAGGAGCUUGCUCCUCUGACGUUAGCGGCGGACGGGUGAGUAACACGUGGAUAACCUACCUAUAAGACUGGGAUAACUUCGGGAAACCGGAGCUAAUACCGGAUAAUAUAUUGAACCGCAUGGUUCAAUAGUGAAAGACGGUUUUGCUGUCACUUAUAGAUGGAUCCGCGCCGCAUUAGCUAGUUGGUAAGGUAACGGCUUACCAAGGCAACGAUGCGUAGCCGACCUGAGAGGGUGAUCGGCCACACUGGAACUGAGACACGGUCCAGACUCCUACGGGAGGCAGCAGUAGGGAAUCUUACGCAAUGGGCGAAAGCGUGACGGAGCAACGCCGCGUGAGUGAUGAAGGUCUUCGGAUCGUAAAACUCUGUUAUUAGGGAAGAACAAAUGUGUAAGUAACUAUGCACGUCUUGACGGUACCUAAUCAGAAAGCCACGGCUAACUACGUG
rnacentral:rRNA from 1 species